AAUAAAAUAUCUGAAAGAAAAAUGAAAUUUUACAUCAAUUGCCAUUGUGAUUUUAGUAUAAUUACUUGUAUAGUUCAUAAAAAUAAAUUAAUUGAUUUUAUAAUUAAUAUGUCAAUUAAUUUAAUCAUUCACAGUUGGUGCACCGGGGUUAAUAGAAUAAUUAACGGAAAAAUAACAAAUUUCGAUGUAAAUGAUGAAAUUAAGUUACAAGCAUUUAAAUAUUGUAAUACACAUAAAAAAAGGAAAUAAAAUAUACUUAGCCGAUAAAUGUACUCUUUAUCUUUUGUUUUUUUAUUAUCUCCCAUAAUAUUAUUGACUAGACUAGAAGUUGGAAACUGAAAACUGGAAACUGGAACUGGAAAUUGAAAUCACUGUUUUAAAUUCAAUUUACAGUAAAUUGAAUUUAAAACAGUGAUUUCAAUUUUCAAAUUUAAAAACAUAUUUAAGAGAACUCUUGAAAAGCGCCAUCUACCCUAACCAUACAUGAAGUAACCACGCCAUCUUGUGACGGGGGCCCGUUAACUUUCACGCUAGUAAGUUGUUUUGAACGAUGAGUUGCGUAUCUAUCUCUAUAUAGUGUAUUAUCUAUGUUAGUCAGCGCCAAGCGCUUAUCGAGGGAGGACGUAUCGCUCGCUGUUGCGCCGCGCAAACUCGCCGGAGCUCGAAAAAUAUAGCGCAACCUGCGCAACGAACUCGUUUUGAUACUAGAUAAUGAAAGCAUAUUUAAUUCAGAUUAUCAGACUCAAUCGGAUACCAGUACAAAUAAUAUGGAAAAUGAAGAUACAAUACAUGGAAGACGAAUUAUAGAUUUUAGUUUUUUUUAUAAAUCAAUUACUUAUACCUAAUUGAUAAACAUGGUGAAAAGUUUGGUUGUCGAUUAAAUAAUUUAAAAAUUGUAAA